GCGAAGCCGGAAAUGGCGGUCGGUGGCAGGGAGGCUUUGCGGCGGUGUCGGGGAUCAGCUCCGGGCGGUGAAGUCUGACAGGGUGGGCUUCGUUGCGUCGGUGCUGGUAGAGUGUGGCUUGUCAUCCCGCAGCGUUGUGAGCUCCGACGACUGUAGAGCGAUCCCGGUGAGGAGCCCGGUCGGUUGGGCCCCGGCGCCUGGUGAAGGACCCUGGUCGGUUGGGCCUUGAUGAGCUCCAGUGCCUGGUGGUCACUUGGGCUCCGGUGCCCAGUAAAGGAGCUCGGUCUGUUGGGCUCUGGUGAGCCACAGUGCCUUGCAAGGAGCCUGGUCGGUUGGGCUCUGGUGCCCAGUAAGGACGCUGGUCGGUCGAGCCCUGGUGCCUGGUGAGGAGCCCGGUCGGUUGAGCCUUGACAAACUUGAGCUGUCGGCAGAGCCCCAGGCAGCUUCCCCUGCCCAGCCCCGCCAUGACAGGCCAGGGGCCGUGGGGGGUCCGUCGGGUGCUGUUGGCGUCGGUGGCCGCGCUGGGAUGGCUACUGGCCCUGCAGUUGCUUCUUGACUUGCGGGCACUGGGGCUGCUCUGUGGGGUGCUGGCGGUGCUGGGUGGCUGGCUGGGCCCCCGGGCCCUCAGCCACCCCGGCCGGCGGUUGCGGCUGGAGCAUUUUGUCAGCUCCCUGCAGCCCCAGCCCCACUGCCCGGUGGCCACGGGGCGGCUGGAGAAGGAGAUCGCCGGCACCAUCCACAAAAUGGUGCGGGACUUCGUCGCCUCCUGGUACCGCACCAUCAGCAGCGAGCCAGCCUUCGAGGCUGAGGUGGAGAAGGCCAUGACAGGCCUGGCCACUGAGCUGAGGCGGCGGAUGGGGCAAGUGGACCGCCAAGCCCUGGCCCACCGCCUCCUCCUCCUCUACGGCCAUCACUUGCAGAGCUACCUGCAGGCCCGCGAGGCCCUGAGGGGCGAUCCGGAGGGUGGCCGGACCCUGUGGCUGGAGUACAGCCGGCUGGCGGGGCCGCACCCGGCCCUCCGCAGCCCGGCGGCUGAGGUGGGCUAUGCCCGGGCUGCUGUGGACACGCUGCUGCGGGCGCUGGUGCCCUGGCCCCACCUGGAGACACGAACGGGACGCUUUGUUGUGGUGGAGCUGAUUGCCUGCAACGUGCUGCUGCCGGCCAUCAGAAAGAUGUCUGAUCCUGACUGGAUCAACUUGCUGCUCAUCGGGGCUUUCUCCAAGAAGCCCCGGGGUGUGGAGCCACCCCCUGCACCCCCAGUGCCUGAUUUCUUGCCCUUCGUGGCGCAGACGGAUGCCGCCACUGCCGGGCUGCCCCCCUCCCCGAGGGCCACGGAGGUGCCCAGGCAAGAGGCAGGGGCUGCUGUCGAGGACAGAGAGGACUCAGCGAGUGGGCUGUGCCACACAGAGGAGCCCUUCCUCCGCCCGCGAGCCCUGGGCUCCCUCUUCCCCUGCGAGGGUUUGGAGCUGGAGUCCCCCGUGCCCGAUGCGGGCCAGGACGCGGACCUGUUGGUACCAUCGCCCAUGAGGGAUUUCCUCGAUGAACCCCCCCAGGACACCUCCACUGUGGUGGAGGGAGCGGCCGCUUCGGAGGAUGGCAUGGGGGACCUGGAGGAGGGUGUUGCCCCUAGCUUGGAUGCUGGCCUGCUUCCCACCUCUGCUUUUGCACUGACCUCCUGCCCUGACAUCCAGAUCGACCCAGCAGUUGAGAAGGAAGAGGAAGGCCCAGCUGUCCCCAAGAAGUCCUCCUCGCAGAGGCCCUCCAGCUUGGGGAAAGAUCUGGGAGCAGUAGAGGGCCCACCACAAAGCCCCCCAGACCCUGGGCAGACUCUGCCCCUGCUCUCAUCCUCCCCAACGGCUUCCGUCAGCACCUUCAGCUUUGAACCCCUCAGCAGCCCCGAUGGGCCGGUCGUCAUCCAGAAUCUGCGGAUAACGGGGACCAUCACUGCCCGAGAGCACAGCGGGACUGGCUUCCACCCCUACACCCUGUACACUGUCAAGUAUGAGACAGCCCUGGAGGGUGAGAGCGCGGGCAGCCUUCAGCAAAUGGCUUACCACACCGUGAACCGCCGUUACCGGGAGUUCCUCAACCUCCAGACCAGACUGGAGGAGAAACCGGAGCUCCGCAAGUUCCUGAAAAAUAUCAAAGGCCCAAAGAAAUUGUUCCCUGAUCUCCCAUUUGGAAACAUGGACAGUGAUAAAGUGGAAGCCAGAAAAAGUCUGCUAGAAUCUUUCUUGAAGCAAUUGUGUGCAGUCCCUGAGAUUGCAAACAGUGAGGAGGUGCAGGAGUUCCUCGCCCUGAACACUGACGCCAGGAUCGCGUUCGUCAAGAAGCCCUUCGUUGUCUCCAGGAUAGACAAGAUCGUUGUCAAUGCCAUCGUGGACACCUUGAAGACGGCGUUCCCCAGGUCAGAGCCCCAGAGCCCCACGGAGGAUCUUAGUGAGUCUGAAGUGGAUGGGAAAUCUCAGACAGACGGGAAGAAGGCUAACAGGUCCAGGCUGAGGUUCUCAUCCAGUAAAAUUGCUCCAGUGCUGAGUGUGAAUGAAGCGCAUGACAGGAUUGUGUACUCUAUCCGGGAGGGCAGUGCUGUCUCUGGCACCCUGUCACUAGCUGCUAUGGAGUCCUUCAUCCAGAAGCAGGAGAAGCUGCUGGAGGCAGUCCCCAGCAAAGCUCCUGAAGGCGAGGGAGGUAGAGAAGCUAAGGAAAGCUCCAUGGAGGACAACAUGGACGGGCUGCGCACAUCAGAGCAGGGGACACGUCCGGACACGGACUCUGACUCUGAGACAGCUUUGGCUGAUGUGGCCCUGGAUGUGCUUCGUCUGCUGCUGAUGGAUCACUGGAGCUGGCUGUGCACAGAGAACGUCCAGAAGGUCUUCCACCUGCUCUUCGGGACCCUCAUUCAAAGGUGGCUGGAAGUCCAGGUGGUUAACCUGACCUGCACCCAGCGUUGGGUCCAGUACCUCCAGUUGCUACAGGAAUCCAUCUGGCCUGGAGGAGUUUUGCCAGCAGUGCCUAAACCAGCCAGGACAGAGGAACAGAAGAAAGCAGCAGCAGAGCAGGCCCUGCAGAGCCUGAUGGGCAUCUUGCCUCAUGUGAUCCAAGAAAUCCUUGGAACCAGUAAAUGUCGGAUGAGCUGGAACCUGGUACUGGAGUCCCUGGGCCGGCCUGUGAUAAACAGGCUUUCCAGUGAGUGUGAAACCAGAGAAGCGAUGUGGAGAUCUUUGGCCUUUCUCCUGGAAGAAAGUGAAAGAGAUUCAGAGAAGCAGGGAUUGUGCAGACCCAUCUCCACAUCCCUUGGGCACCGCUGCUUAGGAAGUUCACCAUGAUAUCGGUCCUGGAGGAGGAAAGCUGGUAAGCUAUAAGGAAAUAGAGAAUGAAAAUGAGAAAUUCCACAUGAAAUUUGAAAUAUGACGUCGAAGAAAAAAAUAGAGGGAGGAAGAAAAACCUGAUACAAUGAAUGCUUGAGUCAUGUAUUAUUCUGGAUUAGCUCUGCCAUGGAAAAAUCCCAUACACCCUAUGAAAUCCAUUACCUACAAGCCAGUGAACAUUUGUACAGCACAUGAUGUGGGGAUCAUAGCUGAAGCCAAGUUCCCCUGUAUAAUAUCCACCCCAGGGUAGAUUGGUCCAUUUCCAGUGUCAACAGCCAGAGGAUUAAGCAUUUAUCUCUGCAGAACAGUGGGUAAUUAAUAGCAGAUCGAACUAGGGGCUACGCUCGAGAGAGCUUGCUUGUGACUAUAUUUGUGACUGAGUGUGGCUUUAUUGCCUGCGGGCGAGUUAGAGGGAGUGGGGUGAUGUUUUGUCUGUACCACGAGGUGCAGGCAUUGCCUCGGUGAUGUGUGCCUUGUAGCAGAGCAUCGGUAGCUACAGGGCUUUGCGCUGGGGUGGCAUCGGGCUUCCCAAAUGAAGCUGAGGGUGAGCUUUCCCAUUGUGGCCACAGGCGGUAGGCAUUAGGGGUGAAAACCUAUCAGGAGACCUCUCCUUCCAGCCGAAAGUUGGAAGAAUGGAAUCAGGAUGCUGUGAUUUGCCAUCUUCUGGAUUUAAAUGUAAAAUCCAGGUUUUGGCACUUCUGGCUUCCUUGAAAUAAAUUAAUACCAUUAUCCUGGCCGCAGUCCAGUUCAGGUAAUUAUAUUCUUCCUACCUUAAUGCCACUCCAGCCCCCUGUCUCCACUGGAUAUGCUAUACUCUAAUUCCUGUCUGGAACUUGCUUAUUAUGUUACAAAGUCUUAUUUUUUUCCCUCUGAGUACAACUUGUGCACAGAGCACUAGCCAGCCCCCAGCACUAUGCUGAGCUGCUAAAAUAGUCGAGACAACCUGCCUUAGACAUCUGACUGCCUGGUGGUGUCCUGGAGCAUCUCUCCCCCUGAGCUGAGAGGGUGGAUAACAUAAAAGAUCAGAGCAAGGGGUUCAGUCCUGUUUAACCCAGUGGACUGCUAGAAACCCGCUUCUCUCUUCUCGGAGUGCCUUAGGGUGGUGGGGGAAGAGACCUCUUGUCUUCAGGGAGAACAUUGGCAGUGUCCUAAUGUAAAUAUGUCCAAACCUCCCUGCUAAUCUAGCGGGGCAGUCCUGCCUUGCUUCGAGGUUAGCAUCCAGUCCUAAGAAACUCUGUUUCCUGCAGUACGUGAGCAAUGCUAGAAGCUGGCUUUGAGUACCUGGUUUCCCUUUUGGAGCGCAGCUCGCUUGUCCGUGUUGGUGGCUUGGUGGCCCUUACAUCUCCUGCAAUUGAUGCAUUGGGUUGUUUUUUCCCUUUUGAAAAGUAUUUAAAGUCGCCUUCUUUCCUUACCCUUUCAAUUACGCUCACUUCAUCUCCUGGCCUCGCUGAGCGGCUGAAAAGGUUGCUCAAGCAGUACUUGAGGAGAGCGUCCCGCAAUUUGCCGUACUUCCUUCCUGUUCCCAGGCCCCUUUGCUCUUCCACGGCCCUUGAGGACAAGGAGGGUUUGAGGGACGUGCUGGAAGAGGGACAGCAGGGGUGAGGAUCAAAGACCAUAAACCACUGUUUAAAAAAUAUAAUGCCCACCGCUUCUCUGGAGUGUCGCAUCUGGCAGAGCCUCAUUAACCUUCUGUUUCCCCCUCCUACUCCUUUGCCCCUGAAAAUCAACAAAGCCAAACAUAACAAGUUGCCUUGAUUGAAGAAGGCUGAAGUGUGUGUGCUUAGUGUGAAAAAGCAAAAGCAAAGCCAUUGGCUAAAGCCCCUUUUCCAUGCAGGCCACUUCACAUUUAUUACGUUAGAAGACGGAGCUCUUAAAAUCCCGAUGCUCUUUAUAGUUGAGCUCUUUAACUUUCUCCCUUCCUCCCCUUGCAGCCUUCAUUCUCCUCUUGUUCCGCUCCUUCCGCUCCGCUCCUUUCUCUUUUGUCCUGUGAGAACGAGUCUUUUAAUCCCCUUGUACUGCAGAUUAAAGCUAUUAUAGCCUCCCCAACCUGACAUUUUCUCAGAGAGGCUCACAGCCAGAUCUUUAUGAGUGCUCUCUGUCUGUCUGCUGCUGCCUUUCUUCUCGGCAUACUAAACCUCCGUUCCUGACCUUUCCCCGAAGAGGGAAGGGCUGUAGCGUGCAAUCCCAUGUAGGCAAAGGCUGGUCUCAGCGGGGCUCGGGGUGCAGGAAAUUAAGACCCAUGGAAAUUAACAAGUAAAUAAGGAGAGAAAGAAAAGACGAUGGGAAUUAAGAGACAGAACCAAAGCAAAAUUCAGCAUGUUUGGAAACCAAAUGCCGGGCUUGGGUCUGAGUUUUGCAAAUGGUCCUGUCUUUAUGAGGAGCCAAACCAUAAACCUGGGACUCAUUUUUAGUAGCAGAUUGGGGUUACCUGAAACCUAAGCUACAGUCCAACUCCGCACUUUGCAUUUGGCCCAAGAAUAAUGGAUCCAGGCACCUAGAAGUACACAGGUAAAUGUUGCGUUUGUGAUCUUUCAGGGACAGGAGUGACUUGUAGUACUAUGGGGCUCUGUCCAUGACAGCAGAUUUCAUAGUAUUUGUCAUCAAAUGAUUGUACCUCACCUCUGAGAUUGCAGAGUGGAUUGAUGUGCUGGUCCUUGUCUUGUGCACAUCAUAAAAGCACAAAGGAUCAGGGUAGCUUGCCUAAAAGUGCAUGCGCUAAUGGGAGAAACAUCUUUCCUAUGGAGUUUUCUGGCUCUCGUCAUCAGUCCUGCCACUGCGAGGUGUCCUACAAAUGUCCCAGAGUUCUUGGCAAAGCACCAAGGAAGGUGAAAAACUGGCCCCAAGAUACAUUCCCCAGAGGAAUUGUGUACAAUUACCCCAAACAGGCCCCCUUUCAGCUUUGUGUACAAUAUACAAGCAUGCGUUAGUGAAUAGGAGGGGUGUCUGUUGCUAACACGCGCUUUGAGCAGGGAGGAGGCAGUUUGGUUUCCUCUUCUUUUGGACCUCCAGCAUGAACUUGGCCUGGUUGUUCUGAGCCAUCAUUUCACCCAGCUGUAAAACCGGGUUGGUAACCUGACCCAGAGCUGUGCAGACAUCCUAACUCUGCAAAACUCUGGGUACUUUGCUAACCCGUUCAGCUUGAACUGAAGAAAAUCACGCAAUACCUAUAGCAAGUGAGUACAAAAGGUCAAGUUUUGGUCCUGCAAGGCUUUCCUUACAUCCAUUUAUAGGUGGGUGAUGUUUUACUUCCCUUGUAAAAGGACAAACUGAGAAUUUGCUUAUCUUUAUAAGCACCUUGAAAGCACGGCCUUCACAAGUCACGCGUGGGGUUAGGAGACAUUUGAGGGGUAGAGUCAACACAUACAGAUUUUGCUAAAAUAGGUGGUGACCAUGUAUAAAAAGGUUUCCCAUACUUAAGGGCAGCAGCAGCGCUGCGAUGACAGGCCAACUCAUGGCAUUUGUGCUCUCCCAUCGUGCGCCCGAGCAAACGCAGAGGCUUCUGGGAGCCGCAGCGAAACUGCUUUCAAAGCAAAUAAUAAAAGAAGUGCAACUGUCCCCUUUUGGGAACUCAUUUCGGGGCAAAAGUUCCCCUGGCAGCCCAGCUUGCCUAUAAUGAAAUCAAAACAGGAGCUCGCCCCCGGAGGGGCCGUAUGUGUGAAACACUGCCAUGUCGAAUCCGUAUGAAUCCUCCGUAAGGAAAGCCCGAGCCCUGUAAUUACUGGUUUUCUAGCAAGCAGCCUUUUCUUUCUCUUUGUGUGGGCCCGGUCCCCUUCCCCUCUCCCCCCAUGCGUGCAUGAUAAGAGGAUAUUUGUAAUGAAAAUCACUGGGCAGAAGUGGAGAACAAAAGCAGGGGCACAGCGCGCUCGCCAGUGGGGAUAUUAGAGGCGCUGGGCUCCCACCUCCGUCCGGUCUGCUCUCUGCUGGGAGAGCGCGGUGGGCACGGCGGGCUGGGGAGGCUCUUAUUAACCUUAAUCUGCAGAAAGGGGCUGAAGCCACGCCAUGGUCCGGUUUCAUAGCUACAGCGGCUCGCUCCCAAGCGUGCAGCCUUAUGAAGGGGCAGUCUCCCCAGCAACUCUAAUGCGUUUUUGCACCGUACCAUCUAAUCUGAGGUAGAAAUGUCACUGCCGUCAGACCCCAGGCUGGCAGCUCCCAGCCACGGCCGCGCUGGUAAGCACAUAUCCAGCUUCAACCUUCUGGUUGCUGGGGUGAAAGGGCCUCUUUAUCUCCGCGGGGAGAGGCAGAUGAAUCCCGGGCUCAAACAAGGGACCUGCUUUUUUUUUUUCUUCCCCCACCAGACGCUCCCCCUCCGGUUCAAGGGCUCUUUAUUAUGUCUUUUAAUUCUGAGCUGCGAGUGGGAGGGAGCAAUAAGGCUGGAGAAAUAGUGGGGGGGAAAAAAGCCCCUCGCAGUGGGGAAAGGCCCCAGCCACCAGUGUGUGAAAAGGGAAGGCAGCGCGGGGAUUAGAAAUGUCAGCUUCAUGGGAAGUACUUGAUAUUUAAUAGCUUCACUUGAUUGCUGCAAGGCUGUGAUGGGCACAGUGCCAUAAGGGCGGCUGUGAGCCGUGUCCCCUGGAGAAUCGAUGCCAUUUCUGGGUGCCUCGGGAGCUAUCGCAAUAUAGGACGGUGAGAAAGAGCCGUGGAAGCUGAGCUUGUAUUACUUAAGAUGAGGUUGUCAGGUUGAUGGCUCAUCCUUUCCGUGUCUGGCUGGCACAGGAUGCAGGACGCCCUGCUCCUGACGCAGCUAACGGAGCUGAGCUUUCUUCCCGCUGACAGCUAGUGCCCUCCGUCUGAUGGCUGAUAGCGCUUGUGACUUGUUUGUUGCGAAAAUGCUGCCGGAUGGUCUGUCUGCAACAUAUUCUCUAGUUUGCUCAUGUUUGCAGCCGCUGGGGGAACUGAGGCCUCUUAGAGCAUUAGCACUCGGUAAUCUCCUCUUCUCGACAGAUGCUCUGAUGCUAUCUGCCGCCCGUACAGUCGGGGCUACUGGAGGAAUUUGUUUGUGCAACGGGAGCGUGCUCCUGCGCCGGUAGGGAUCUCGUCAACGUUUUUGUCUGAUUAGGCCAAUAAAAAUUCUUGGAUUCCUCCCUUGUCUCCAGCACGCACACGCUGCAAACACCAACACACAAACAGCAUGCUUUAUUUCUCACACAGAUUACCUCCCAUGCCCCUCUGGAUGUGGCCUUGGGAGAGGAAGUUGCUCCUCUAGAAAAAGGGCUGUUGGAACCAUUGAAUAACUCUGAGAGGAUGGAGAUUGCUUCUUGUUGCUCCUUUUGUGACGAAGUGAUGAAGAUGAAGUGACCAGAGCUUUCCCAGCGUGACUGACUGUUAAAGAGCCUUCCCAGCAGUGUACUUCAUCACUAUCUCAGAAGGCAAUGUGCUUUUAUUGAACCAAGUCUGCUCUGGGCUCCGUACACUCCAUCAAGCUGUAUUAAGCUUUUGCUUUUGUCCGUGCAAGCGAAUUCUAAUAAACUAGCUUAUGGCUGUCAUUUUCAACACACUUCAGCACAAACACAUUGUUUCGAGAGCUUUAUCUGAGAUUCAUGUGCAUCUCCAAAGCAGCCCCUAUGGAGCGUCUGAAAAUCCCCCUAUCCCUUGAGGCAGGCGUUCAAAAUGGCAUUUGGCAACGUUCCUGCCACCACCUGCGUGGAAAAGCAGGAUGCAGGGCCUGUCCAUCCCUUGGCUCUCCUGUCUUGAGGAAAACGGCGUCCAGGGUAUAAAUAGGCACGAUGCGCUGCGAUCCUUUUUAAGGGCUGUUCUUGACCCAAUAUGCUCCGCCAACAAAAAUAACCUGUUCCGCCCUCUUCGGCAAGGUUCACCUGAAGCCCAAAAGCUGCAUUAGAACAGCGUGUAUUAAAGUGCAUCACACAUCAAGGGCUUGGAAAUAAACACCAGCGAUGUCUCUUUUUGAUCACAUUCCUUUCCACGACAGGCUGACGAUUUCCAAGCCAAGAAUGUCACUAACCUCUCAUAUUUCUCCUGGUCAUUUCUGUCCUGAAAUUGGAAUGCAGCCACAAGCAAAAGGGGGUUGAACGCUCCCGUGUCAGGGAUCCAGAUUUAAGAGACAUUAUCUCAUCGAUAGCGAACAACAAGGCUGGCACGCCGUCAGGCGCGAUAUUCCCUGGAAAGUUCAGCGUGCGUGGUGAAGGACAUGGGAAGGCAGGCUUAACUCGCAAUGCUAAGCUUGCGCUAGUCAAGCGUGGUAAGAUCCUGGCUGGCAGCCUCGGCGAAGUAUCUCUGUCACGUUGGAGAGCAGCGUAGGCGAGGGCCCCGUGCUUGUGGGAGGCAGAGGACACAGAAGGACUGAGGACGGUUGCACAGCGCAAUGGUUAGGAAUGAAAAAGUGAGAUCGCACAGAGGGAAGGAGGGGAACA